CUCAUUCACUAUUCAAAUCACAUAACCUACCGCCACUACAUAAUCCUUAUUACUCUCAUUAUUAUUAAACCCUUCAUAGUUCAACCCCUCCAUCCAUUGCCGUCGGCCCUAGUUUUCGUCUCCAUGUCGUGCUCAGAGCUGUGGCGUCGCAGUACUCGUCGUCGUUCCCAAGUCAGUAUCCAUUGUCGUCGUCAUCGGUCGCAAGAAGACGUCUUUGUCCCCGCGGCGAGCCCUUGUCCUUGAGCCCCUUCUCUCUCUGUCCGAGGCCCCAUCCUUCUUCUCUCACCGUCAAAACCAUUCCUUCCACUGAUGGCAAGCACCACUGGUUCAUCCUGUGUGGUUGCUGAUUUGUUUAGAGAAAUAUAUUAAGAUGCUAAGGAUAGGUCAUUACAUGAAGAUAUCCAAGUUAGACACAACAUAUCAGCAAUCUCAAGUAGGAUGUGCUGCGGCUUCAUCAUCCUAUCAAGUGGAUUGCCUAAUUCCCCCGUCCAACAGUAGUUGUGCCUCCGCAGCCUCAUAUUUACACCCCUUUCGUCUGCCUUGUAGCGAACCACUGCCUGCUCCACAGACUUGCACGAAUGGUGUUCAAAACUCAGAGCUGGGCGUUGAAAACCUAGACCCAGAGGCAGAUGAGGUAGAUUCUUUUGAGCAACACGUUGAUAACUUGUUUGCUGCAUCGGAGGCUCAGAAGCGCAAGGGAUGUAAGACCACUGAAUUUUAGGAUGUUAAAACAAUUGAAUCUAAUGGCACAAUCAAAUAAGUUCAUUUGAGUGUGAAGGAAGCUAUGAAGCCACCUAACAGUAGAAAGAUCGUACUCAGGUUCAACGAGAACUUGUAACCAGUUGGAGAUGAAGCUAGUGAACUGAUCGGCGUUCUUGGAUUGCUAGGAUCUGAUUACACCAAAUUUCCAAUUUGCGAGGAAGACUGGAGAAAGGUUCGCUCUAAGGACAAGAUCUAUAAGGAAUGUGAAGGAAAUGUUUCAUUUUAAUGAAGAUAGUGGAGGAUUCAUCCAGCGUACAAUAUUAAAAAUGUUAGGGAGCGCUUCGAAGGAAACGAGGAACAAAUUAUACCAUGAUCAUUAGACUCACAACUGAUUAUUGAACAAAACAUUGAAGGCCGCCCACCGAGAAUUACUGCGGAUCAUUGGAGAUGGUACCUUGAUUAUUGCAAUAGUGAAGACACAAAGGAGAAGUGUGGGAAAAAUGCUGUGAAUCGAUUGAAUCAGCUAUACACUUACACUGGCGGAUCGAAAAGCUUGGCAAGGCUCGGAGAAGAAGAGUCAGAACGACAAGGGAGGAGAGUUAGUAGAGGAGAGUUGUGGACCUUAACGCACAAAGGACCUAAUGGCUCCUAUCUCCAUGAUGCAGCUCGGGCUAUUGGUGUAAGUAAUGUGUUGAGAAUCGAAAGAAUUGCGGAGAUUGAGCAACAUGAUGAAUCCUCUAGAUUGUCUCAGAAUAAUUUGCUUGCUCAAGCUCUCGGAAAGUAGCACUUGGGUAGAUUGCUUGGCAUGGGUUUCAUACCAACUUAUAGUCAAGUCUUCGGUACGAAUUCCCAUCAGCCAAGCAAUAGAGCUCAAAGAGAGGAGACCCAAAGGGUGCUGCUUGAACUACAAGUAGAGCUGGCGGCCGAGAAAUUAAUAAGGAAGGCAGUGGAAGAUGAAGUAGCAGCCGAGAAGACAAAAAGUAGGCAAUGGAGGAUGAAGUAGCAGUUGGGAAGAUAAAGAUGCAGGCGAUGGAGAGUGCUCUGAGAUGUCUAAUUCAAGGGUAAGGUGGGAAGCUGCCACCAGACGUCGCUGCAUGGAUGAAUUCAUUGGAGGGACAGAGUGGAAAGUAAAUCUUAGAAUCGGAAUUUUUUUUUAAAUAUACACUUUUUUGUUGUUGACUAUGCAACUCUUAGUAAGGAAUACACUUUAUUGAUAUUUGGAUAAAUAUAUGAAUUUGCGUUAUAGUUU